rnacentral:misc_RNA from 1 species
UGCACCACCAACUGUGAUUGAUCUUUUUAAAGAGUGCCAUUGUAGCAACAAGACUGGUUUUGCUGAGCCUGUAAAGGAAGCAAUUGACACAAUGGAAUCACUUGUGGGUGGACAUGGAGUAGAAGGGAAAGAAUCCAAGACCCCUAUAGAAGCAGUUGCUCAAGUGUUGGCUUCAUCAAAAUUUCUUCAAAAUAUUGGUCUUGUACCUGCCACAAAGAAAAGCGGCAAUGGUGGUGAUCCUACACGUGUGGCAGACCUUGAGGCAGAACUUGAAUCAGAGAAGCAAAAUACUUUAGAAGUUAGAGCUCAGUUAGAUGCCCUCAAGAAGAAGGUAGAAGAAUCAGAACGAGCAAGGGAUAAGGAGUUAGAAAAGAUUAAUGAUCUGCAAAAAGGAGCAGAUGAGACCAAUGCUCUCCUUCGUCGUCUCUUUAGCCUCAAUAAGUAGUUGGUCGAUUCAUUUUUGUGUGGCCCUUUGCUACUAUAUGACCCUUAUUUUAUUUUUCUUUUGGUACUAUCCUUUGUAGCUAGUGUAAUGAAAACAUGGC